AUACACUAGUACAUAGGAGCUCUAUGUAGACUAUUUAUAACCGAUUUGUGCAGGCAUUUUUCAAAACCACCAGUUCUAGGGGCUAGUUGAAAUGGAUCUUUCCACAGACGGUUAACUAAGAACCGCCUGUGAAGAAUGAUUUCCAUAGGUGGUUCAGUUAAGCCAACCGCCAGUGUAAAUGCUUGUCCAGAAAACAUAGAUCUGGUUUUUAAAAUAGGGAAAAAGAUUUUCAAUGGGUUUUAAACAUAAGUCAUAAAUUUCUUUGUGUAAAUUAAAUCACACGCUACGCAGUUGGCAGGAUUCGAACACACAACCUCAACCUCCCGCAU
rnacentral:lncRNA from 1 species